GACGAACGCUGGCGGCGUGCUUAACACAUGCAAGUCGAGCGGUAAGGCCCUUUCGGGGGUACACGAGCGGCGAACGGGUGAGUAACACGUGGGUGACCUGCCCUCAGCUCUGGGAUAAGCCUGGGAAACCGGGUCUAAUACUGGAUAUGACUCCAUGACGCAUGUUGUGGGGUGGAAAGCCUUGUGCGGCUGAGGAUGGGCCCGCGGCCUAUCAGCUUGUUGGUGGGGNGAUGGCCUACCAAGGCGACGACGGGUAGCCGGCCUGAGAGGGCGACCGGCCACACUGGGACUGAGACACGGCCCAGACUCCUACGGGAGGCAGCAGUGGGGAAUCUUGCGCAAUGGGCGGAAGCCUGACGCAGCGACGCCGCGUGAGGGAUGACGGCCU
rnacentral:rRNA from 1 species